rnacentral:lncRNA from 7 species
CGAUCAAAGGGACUGCAGGGGAGCCCAGGAAAGGCGGCGAGGAGCAGAGCUGCAAAGAGGCACUCGGAGCGGUAGAACACAGAGCGUACCUCGCUAGCCAAAAACUGCCGAGAGCAUUACCUCCACGGGUACCCAAGGAGACUGA